rnacentral:rRNA from 1 species
GAUGAACGCUGGCGGCGUGUCUAAUACAUGCAAGUCGAGCGAACAGACGAGGAGCUUGCUCCUCUGACGUUAGCGGCGGACGGGUGAGUAACACGUGGAUAACCUACCUAUAAGACUGGGAUAACUUCGGGAAACCGGAGCUAAUACCGGAUAAUAUAUUGAACCGCAUGGUUCAAUAGUGAAAGACGGUUUUGCUGUCACUUAUAGAUGGAUCCGCGCCGCAUUAGCUAGUUGGUAAGGUAACGGCUUACCAAGGCAACGAUGCGUAGCCGACCUGAGAGGGUGAUCGGCCACACUGGAACUGAGACACGGUCCAGACUCCUACGGGAGGCAGCAGUAGGGAAUCUUCCGCAAAGGGCGAAAGCCUGACGGAGCAACGCCGCGUGAGUGAUGAAGGUCUUCGGAUCGUAAAACUCUGUUAUUAGGGAAGAACAAAUGUGUAAGUAACUAUGCACGUCUUGACGGUACCUAAUCAGAAAGCCACGGCUAACUACGUG